GGUUAAGCGACUAAGCGUACACGGUGGAUGCCCUGGCAGUCAGAGGCGAUGAAGGACGUGCUAAUCUGCGAUAAGCGUCGGUAAGGUGAUAUGAACCGUUAUAACCGGCGAUUUCCGAAUGGGGAAACCCAGUGUGUUUCGACACACUAUCAUUAACUGAAUCCAUAGGUUAAUGAGGCGAACCGGGGGAACUGAAACAUCUAAGUACCCCGAGGAAAAGAAAUCAACCGAGAUUCCCCCAGUAGCGGCGAGCGAACGGGGAGCAGCCCAGAGCCUGAAUCAGUGUGUGUGUUAGUGGAAGCGUCUGGAAAGGCGUGCGAUACAGGGUGACAGCCCCGUACACAAAAAUGCACAUGCUGUGAGCUCGAUGAGUAGGGCGGGACACGUGGUAUCCUGUCUGAAUAUGGGGGGACCAUCCUCCAAGGCUAAAUACUCCUGACUGACCGAUAGUGAACCAGUACCGUGAGGGAAAGGCGAAAAGAACCCCGGCGAGGGGAGUGAAAAAGAACCUGAAACCGUGUACGUACAAGCAGUGGGAGCCUCUUUAUGGGGUGACUGCGUACCUUUUGUAUAAUGGGUCAGCGACUUAUAUUCUGUAGCAAGGUUAACCGAAUAGGGGAGCCGAAGGGAAACCGAGUCUUAACUGGGCGUUAAGUUGCAGGGUAUAGACCCGAAACCCGGUGAUCUAGCCAUGGGCAGGUUGAAGGUUGGGUAACACUAACUGGAGGACCGAACCGACUAAUGUUGAAAAAUUAGCGGAUGACUUGUGGCUGGGGGUGAAAGGCCAAUCAAACCGGGAGAUAGCUGGUUCUCCCCGAAAGCUAUUUAGGUAGCGCCUCGUGAAUUCAUCUCCGGGGGUAGAGCACUGUUUCGGCAAGGGGGUCAUCCCGACUUACCAACCCGAUGCAAACUGCGAAUACCGGAGAAUGUUAUCACGGGAGACACACGGCGGGUGCUAACGUCCGUCGUGAAGAGGGAAACAACCCAGACCGCCAGCUAAGGUCCCAAAGUCAUGGUUAAGUGGGAAACGAUGUGGGAAGGCCCAGACAGCCAGGAUGUUGGCUUAGAAGCAGCCAUCAUUUAAAGAAAGCGUAAUAGCUCACUGGUCGAGUCGGCCUGCGCGGAAGAUGUAACGGGGCUAAACCAUGCACCGAAGCUGCGGCAGCGACACUAUGUGUUGUUGGGUAGGGGAGCGUUCUGUAAGCCUGUGAAGGUGUGCUGUGAGGCAUGCUGGAGGUAUCAGAAGUGCGAAUGCUGACAUAAGUAACGAUAAAGCGGGUGAAAAGCCCGCUCGCCGGAAGACCAAGGGUUCCUGUCCAACGUUAAUCGGGGCAGGGUGAGUCGACCCCUAAGGCGAGGCCGAAAGGCGUAGUCGAUGGGAAACAGGUUAAUAUUCCUGUACUUGGUGUUACUGCGAAGGGGGGACGGAGAAGGCUAUGUUGGCCGGGCGACGGUUGUCCCGGUUUAAGCGUGUAGGCUGGUUUUCCAGGCAAAUCCGGAAAAUCAAGGCUGAGGCGUGAUGACGAGGCACUACGGUGCUGAAGCAACAAAUGCCCUGCUUCCAGGAAAAGCCUCUAAGCAUCAGGUAACAUCAAAUCGUACCCCAAACCGACACAGGUGGUCAGGUAGAGAAUACCAAGGCGCUUGAGAGAACUCGGGUGAAGGAACUAGGCAAAAUGGUGCCGUAACUUCGGGAGAAGGCACGCUGAUAUGUAGGUGAAGCGACUUGCUCGUGGAGCUGAAAUCAGUCGAAGAUACCAGCUGGCUGCAACUGUUUAUUAAAAACACAGCACUGUGCAAACACGAAAGUGGACGUAUACGGUGUGACGCCUGCCCGGUGCCGGAAGGUUAAUUGAUGGGGUCAGCGCAAGCGAAGCUCUUGAUCGAAGCCCCGGUAAACGGCGGCCGUAACUAUAACGGUCCUAAGGUAGCGAAAUUCCUUGUCGGGUAAGUUCCGACCUGCACGAAUGGCGUAAUGAUGGCCAGGCUGUCUCCACCCGAGACUCAGUGAAAUUGAACUCGCUGUGAAGAUGCAGUGUACCCGCGGCAAGACGGAAAGACCCCGUGAACCUUUACUAUAGCUUGACACUGAACAUUGAGCCUUGAUGUGUAGGAUAGGUGGGAGGCUUUGAAGUGUGGACGCCAGUCUGCAUGGAGCCGACCUUGAAAUACCACCCUUUAAUGUUUGAUGUUCUAACGUGGACCCGUUAUCCGGGUUGCGGACAGUGUCUGGUGGGUAGUUUGACUGGGGCGGUCUCCUCCUAAAGAGUAACGGAGGAGCACGAAGGUUGGCUAAUCCUGGUCGGACAUCAGGAGGUUAGUGCAAUGGCAUAAGCCAGCUUGACUGCGAGCGUGACGGCGCGAGCAGGUGCGAAAGCAGGUCAUAGUGAUCCGGUGGUUCUGAAUGGAAGGGCCAUCGCUCAACGGAUAAAAGGUACUCCGGGGAUAACAGGCUGAUACCGCCCAAGAGUUCAUAUCGACGGCGGUGUUUGGCACCUCGAUGUCGGCUCAUCACAUCCUGGGGCUGAAGUAGGUCCCAAGGGUAUGGCUGUUCGCCAUUUAAAGUGGUACGCGAGCUGGGUUUAGAACGUCGUGAGACAGUUCGGUCCCUAUCUGCCGUGGGCGCUGGAGAACUGAGGGGGGCUGCUCCUAGUACGAGAGGACCGGAGUGGACGCAUCACUGGUGUUCGGGUUGUCAUGCCAAUGGCACUGCCCGGUAGCUAAAUGCGGAAGAGAUAAGUGCUGAAAGCAUCUAAGCACGAAACUUGCCCCGAGAUGAGUUCUCCCUGAGACUUUAAGUCUCCUGAAGGAACGUUGAAGACGACGACGUUGAUAGGCCGGGUGUGUAAGCGCAGCGAUGCGUUGAGCUAACCGGUACUAAUGAACCGUGAGGCUUAACCUU
rnacentral:rRNA from 1 species